UUUGGGCUCAAAAUUGACCCAUUUCAACCAUUUUUCCAACACCUCCAUGGCCCACGCUCAAGAGAAAACGGAUGGUGAGGGCUGCUAAUCUUGCCGAUUCUGGACAUUCAAUUUCAACAUCUUCACAUCAACAUUGCAAGGUGAAUAAUGCAGGUAUUUGGAAGCCUAAAAACCCACUUAUACUUUACAGGUAUUUAUGUUGGGAAAAAAGGAUGAGAAUUUUGGGAGGGUAUGUUUGUCUUUGUGUAAUAGUUAAAUGUUCAUAAGAGAUUACACAUGUUUAGAACCUUUACAAGAAAGGAAAACAAAAUUGCCUAUUUUAUGACAAAAUAAUUGGAAUUUGUUUUGUAUCUUUAGGCAAGGGUAUUCACCCCAAGAAUGAGUAAUCCACUGUUUCACGAGAAUAGCAAAAUUACACCUGAAGCACAUGUUAUUAUGCAUUUUAAAGGAUAAACUAAUAGUCCACUACAUUAGGUUUCAAGCUUUAUUUGCUAGUAUUGCUCCUAUCAUCUACUUAAUUGCUAAAAGAGUCCUGUCCUGUGGUAGAUUUUGUUUACUAGGUAUAGGCAGGCCAUCGAAAAUGUGAGCAAUUUUUCAGAAAAUAGUCAUUUUUGUAGACUUUUUUCUUGUAUGGUUGGAAACAUUCAUCACCACCAAAUACAGCAGUAUAAGGAAUCCGUUUGGACAUUGAUUGAUGUCCAAAGAGGAAGGGGAAGAGAUUGAUAAGACUGGUGUUGAGGUUUGUGGCAUUGAUCUGGUCAUGACCUAAGCAGGGGUGUCGAAGGUUAAGGCCGUCAAACAUAGAAAAGGUUUGAUUUGCGCCAAUUUUAGUAUCCUUUAACCUGCAUUAAGGGUGCACUUGUGGCAUUACAAUGAAGUCGACUACCACAAUGAAAGUUAAUUCAAAAUCAUAAGCCACUUCAAUUUUCACAAUGUUACUUAUUGUUGGUUAUUACUUUCUUAAAUGGGUUGUGGUGGACUUGAAAUUUUUUGCAGUAGUUCUUAUUGUCUGUGGACUUCAAAAGUGAUUGCAAUUUUGUUGUCUCUUAACUUUACAUUGGAAAAAAAUAAUAUUAACUUAAUCUUACAUAGAGGAUAAUGUUAAGACCAAUAAAGUGAUGUUAAGGGUGCUGAUCCAGUUGCUGGUGCAGAUGACCGUGUUAUUAUUAUUUCAUCUAAUGAGGUACAUGAUCUCCCUCUCUCUUAGCUUUAUAUGUAGCGUAGUUUUAGUUAGCGUGUUCUUCCAGCAAUUUGAGUUUCUGCAUUUUGUUUAAGGUUUAUGCCUUAAAUUUGAACGUCUUAAGUGUAUACUAAGGAUUAGUGAUGGCAACGGGGCGGGGUAAAUUGCCAUCCCUAAGGAUUAAGAUGGAGUUUGGCUUUAUGUGUUUUCCAAAAUGUCAUCUAAGCUGUUUCACUUGUAUGUCAUUUUUAGGGUCUUGAUGAUGAGAUGGGUGUACUUCUUUUGAUUCACUUAGGCUAAAUCAAGCUUUCAGUUGCAAAAGCUGGAUUUGAGGGUUUUCAGAGGUAUUAACUCGUGAUUUGAAUGAAAUUACUAGAUGGAUAUCUUGUUUGUCAUCUUACUGAAUUCUUGCAAGAUUAAUUAUGAAAGUUUGCUUGUUUUUAAAUUAAAGAAUUUUAGUUGGACUUUUCUUGUUUGUUUUUUCCAUUUUCAAUAAGCAAGUGUCCUAUUUGGCAUCGAAAGAGGAAUUGAAAAAAUAAAGCGACCUGACUUACCAAGACCUGCUGAAGAGGCUCUUGCUCUCGAGGCAGAGGAAGCUAAUCAAGAAGCAUAAUUUUGAUGUACACAAGUUCGUGGAAUUACAGAAGAAAUGCAAAUUACCUGUGCACACGUGUCCCUCUCAAAAAGUAGAUGGGCAUAGUAGAAGAACCAGAGGAUCUUUUACCUGGCCAUUGAAACCAUGUAGUUGCUGCGGCUUCUUCAAUCUUACAUUUUAAAUAUAUUUAGUUUCAGAGUCAACCAAAAGCUCCCAUUUUCUUUGAGGGGGACAUAUUUCUUACAAUUUGUAUAUCCUGCAUCUCCUGAGCUAUUUUUUAUAUAGGGAGUUGUACAAAGAGCCUACUGGAGAUGCAGAAUCUCAGGGAAAAUCAUCAGUGUGGAAAAAUUUGAAGUCUCUUGGAAAUAAUAUCAUUGUUGGCUGGAGGACACUUUUAACUUCUUCUCGAGAAGAUCACUGGAGAUUAGAAGUUCUCCUGUCCAGCAUUGAGGAGGCCGAUGGGUGGUUUUACUCACUACUUAGUUUGUGAUUUUUUUUUUUAUUUUUUUUGGAAAAUGUAUUGGAUUUUUACGUGUUUUAGAAUUUUGGAUCUGAAAUUUGUACGGAUAUUGUUACAUUUUGGAGUUCAAUUAAUAAUGAUUAUCGGAGUUAUUUGAUA